AACGGUCCUAAGGUAGCGAAAUUCCUUGUCGGGUAAGUUCCGACCUGCACGAAUGGUGUAACGAUCUGAGCACUGUCUCAGCCGCGAGCUCGGUGAAAUUGUAGUAUCGGUGAAGAUGCCGAUUACCCGCAACGGGACGGAAAGACCCCGUGCACCUUCACUAUAGUUUAACAUUGACUUUGGAUAAUUCAUGUGUAGGAUAGGUGGGAGACUUUGAAGCGGUGUCGCUAGGCAUCGUGGAGUCAACGUUGAAAUACCACCCUUGAAUUAUUUGGAGUCUAAUCUGCCUACAGGCAGAGACAUUGUUUGAUGGGUAGUUUGACUGGGGUGGUCGCCUCCAAAAAUGUAUCGGAGGCUUUCAAAGGUACCCUCAGUACGCUUGGUAACCGUACGUAGAGUGCAAUAGCAUAAGGGUGCUUGACUGUGAGACUUACAAGUCGAGCAGGGCCGAAAAGGCGGAUAUAGUGAUCCGGUGGUUCCGUAUGGAAGGGCCAUCGCUCAAAGGAUAAAAGGUACGCCGGGUA
rnacentral:rRNA from 1 species